rnacentral:rRNA from 1 species
ACAUGCAAGUCGAACGGCAGCACGGGGCAACCUGGUGGCGAGUAGGCGAACGGGUGAGUAAUGCAUCGGAACGUGCCAUUGAGUGGGGGGUAACGUAGCGAAAGUUACGCUAAUACCGCAUAUUCUGUGAGCAGGAAAGCAGGGGAUCGCAAGACCUUGCGCUCUUUGAGCGGCCGAUGUCAGAUUAGCUAGUUGGUGAGGUAACGGCUUACCAAGGCGACGAUCUGUAGCGGGUCUGAGAGGAUGAUCCGCCACACUGGAACUGAGACACGGUCCCAGACUCCUACGGGAGGCAGCAGUGGGGAAUUUUGGACAAUGGGGGCAACCCUGAUCCAGCCAUGCCGCGUGAGUGAAGAAGGCCUUCGGGUUGUAAAGCUCUUUCGGCCGGGAAGAAAUCGCAUGGGUUAAUACCCUGUGUGGAUGACGGUACCGGCAUAAGAAGCACCGGCUAACUACGUG